rnacentral:rRNA from 1 species
ACUCCUACGGGAGGCAGCAGUGGGGAACACCUGCGCAAUGGGGGAAACCCUGACGCAGCGACGCCGCGUGAGCGAAGAAGGCCUUAGGGUUGUAAAGCUCUGUUUUAAGGGACGAAUGUCACCUUAAGUAAUACGUAAGGUGAAUGGCGGUACCUUAAGAGGAAGCCCCGGCUAACUACGUGCCAGCAGCCGCGGUAAGACGUAGGGGGCGAGCGUUGUCCGGAAUUACUGGGCGUAAAGAGCACGUAGGCGGGAACUUAAGUCAGGUGUGAAAGACCGGGGCUCAACCUCGGGUAUGCACUUGAAACUGGGUUUCUUGAGGGCAGGAGAGGAAAGCAGAAUUCCUGGUGUAGCGGUGAAAUGCGUAGAAAUCAGGAGGAAUACCAGUGGCGAAGGCGGCUUUCUGGACUGACCCUGACGCUGAGGUGCGAAAGCGUGGGUAGCAAACAGGAUUAGAUACCCUGGUAGUC